AUUACGGGGCGCAGCAGGCGCGAAAACUUUACAAUGCUGGCAACAGCGAUAAGGGAACCUCGAGUGCCAGGUUACAAAUCUGGCUGUCGAGAUGCCUAAAAAGCAUUUCAUAGCAAGGGCCGGGCAAGACCGGUGCCAGCCGCCGCGGUAACACCGGCGGCUCGAGUGGUAACCGUUAUUAUUGGGUCUAAAGGGUCUGUAGCCGGCCGGAUAAGUCUCUUGAGAAAUCUGGCAGCUUAACUGUCAGGCUUUCAGGAGAUACUGUCUGGCUCGAGGCCGGGAGAGGUGAGAGGUACUUCAGGGGUAGGGGUGAAAUCUUGUAAUCCUUGAAGGACCACCAGUGGCGAAGGCGUCUCACCAGAACGGACCUGACGGCAAGGGACGAAAGCUAGGGGCACGAACCGGAUUAGAUACCCGGGUAGUCCUAGCCGUAAACGAUACUCGCUAGGUGUCGGCCACGGUGCGACCGUUGUCGGUGCCGUAGGGAAGCCGUGAAGCGAGCCACCUGGGAAGUACGGCCGCAAGGCUGAAACUUAAAGGAAUUGGCGGGGGAGCACAGGAAUUGGCGGGGGAGCAC
rnacentral:rRNA from 1 species